UAUUCCCCUUCACCCACUCGUGUCAGUUUCAAGUAUCACCAUCUUCUCGAUUUGCCUCCUUCUAACCCCUCUCAUUUCUCUCUCUCUCUCGCUCAAUCUCGCCUCUCCGGAAGGAAAGGCGCUGCUGGAUGCCGCCACACCGUUCAUCUCCUUAUGCUCUCUACCUCAACUCAGCAAAUCAACAAGUCAUUAUUCCAUUUGAUCCUUCAGCUGCAUGAUCAUUUUCCACAAAGUGGCCAGCGGCUGGAUUGGUUGAUGGCGUUAGCUACUUAACAACGAAAAUGCUUUUAUUCUUUUGGCCAAGGUUUACCUAUUGAACUGCAUUAUUAAUAAUUGUUACAAUGGACAAUCAUUUUGCAUUGUCUACUUUUCUCUAUGAUUUUUAUGGGAGUUUACUUUUUUUAAGUCCCAUGGUUAAGCUCUUUUAAUAUAUAUACUAUAUACAGAAGACCUAAACUAUAUACUUUUAUUUUAGAGCACAUGAUUUUGUUGUUGGUGGAUAAUGACUAGGGUGUUUAUUUAAAUCAAUAAUCAUAUAAAUUUGUUUGUAGUUGACGUCUCUGAUGGUUCACUUGGAACAUGAUAGGGAUACAUUUUAUGGACACAAAUUUUCAAGCCUAAAUGUGGUUUCUUCAUACAUACAUAAUUUACCUUUCCUCUAAUCUAUCUAUCGAUCUUCUCAUGAUGAUUAGUUUUUAGCAUCCGUCAUAGUAAAUGCUGAGUCUGUGUUCUUGCUCAAUUGAUUGAUAUAUGUCUGCAGAUUUAUACUAUUAGAAAAUGAAUUUUACAGUAGCUGCAGAUCUCUAUGUACUUUUGUUUUUCUUUAUUGGUGAUCAUGGCUUCUAACUGUAGUUUACAGUAUUGUCUAUUAUAUAUUGGAUCAGCUACAGAAAAAUCAGAUAACGUCGAUUUGUUGAGCUUGAUACACAUGCACCAGCUGUUUACAUUGGUCAUUUGUUCUAACUUUUGUAUUCUGUUUCAGAUAUUCAUUUCGUACUGUACUCGUUUCCUCUCUUUUUUAGCUUUGUUCUGCUGUUGGCUUUCCUUGUAAAGGAAGGUCUCCUGCAAUUUACGUUAAUUCACAUGGAUCUUGGCAAAAGGAAUGAAGCAAAAGUGCAAGCAUUUUCCUGACGUGGAAAGAGAAUAUCACAAGUUUUGAGACUUUCUCCUGUUGGCGGAAGCAGACUUCGUUCAAUGCAGAAAGAAGAAGGUUAGUAAUCUGUUUACUGGCAGAAUUGGAUGUUACCAACAAAAUAUAUAGAUGAUAUUUUUGGUAGCUCCACAGUUCUCUCUCUUUCUCCCUUUCUUUUAAAAAAAUAAUUAAUUUAAAAUUUUUCCUUGCUAUGAUAUAUGUUUUGUUGCAUGGGGGUUACUGGUUAGCGUGUGGUUCACGUCAAGAAAAUUGUCUUUUGAUGUGAUUUAGAGCUCCUUCUAGGACCCUCGCCUGCAAUUUUGUAUUUUUAUCCAAAUUUGGAAGUUGGUCAUGAAACUAAGGUGGGUUGUUUAUAGACGAAGAAAUGAGAGAAGACAAUAAAUGCAUCACUAGGCUAGGGCUGGAUCAUGGUUGGUUGGAGCAAUUUUGAAAUUGAUAGUAGGGCUGGUGUCUGGGUGACACUGGUUAAGUGUAAGAAUUUGACAUUUUAGGAAGUAAGGCUUAUCAUCAACUAUCAAUAUGUAUUCAGUCGCAGGCUGGCCUGUAUCUAUUUCUAUAUGUUUUUAUUAUUUCCUUCCGGAAAAUUCUCUAAAUUCUAUUUUAUCUAAACUAGAACAGUAGUUUUAACCUGUAGAUUUGUUAAGUCUUAUUAAUUGACCUUCCAUAAAUUAGGCUAUAAUUGUUUCUUCUUUGACCGCUAGUUUUACAUGGAAAUUUCGGCUGCAGGAUCAGUUGAUUUAUAUUAUAACUAUAAUUUACCUGAAAGAACAGUGAUACAAUCAUGGAUUAAGUAUCUUAGCACCUCGUCAACUGAUUGUUUUAUGAUACUCUUCACUUUUGAUGUAUGAUCAUUUUCCUUAAAAUGGAAACAUCCAGCAGUUGUGCGUUAUAAGAGAAAAUAGUAUGACACAUGUCAGUUUUGACGCAUUUUCCACAAAUUCGAGCAGCUGGUGUUUGGGUGACACUGGUUAAAAAUUGAGCAAUAUUAUUUCUUUUUUUGGCCUCUAGUUUUACGAUACGUGUCAGUUCCGCCGCAGGGUCCCAGUUGAUGAAUAUACUACUUUAAUGGAUCUAUAAAGGAAGGUGUUAAACGGUAGCUUAUGAUGUAUGGACAUUUUCCUUAAAAAGUAACCAUCCUGCAUUGGUGCAGCUAUAAAAGGAAAGCACCCUGUCGCAUUUGUGUUCCUUGAGUACAUGAUGUAAGAGUUGACAUUUUUCAAAGUAGGGCUUAUAUAUACAUGUUCAUGGAAGCUAUGAAGAGCUAAAUCUAAUUUUGUAUAUUCGAUAUGGUUUAGCUUUUUCUCCCGGAAAAUUCGCCCCUUUAUUUACGUAAGCAAAAAGAGUAGUUUUAACCUAUAGCUUUUAAUAAGGCUUGUUAAGUAACCGCCCAUAAAUUGAGCAACAUUAUUUCUUUAUUGACCACUAGUUUUAUAAUAGGUGUCAGUUUUACCACAGGAUCAGUUGAUCAACAUUAUUACUUUAAUUCACCUCAAAGAGAAGUGUUGAACAACGGUAGCUUAGCAUGCAUGUAUCACAUACUAUUAGUACCUCUUCAACUGCUAGUUGUAUGACACGUUUCAGUUCUGACGUACGAUCAUUUUACUUGAGUUCAAACAUCCUGCAUUGGUGCAGGUAUAAGAAGAAAACAAACCAUGUCAUGAGUAAUAAUAUUAUUUGCGCCGCAUUAGACUGCUAGUUUCAUGACACGUGUCACUUUUUCCGCAUUUUUCACAAAAUGCUAGCCGCUGGAUUGGUUGAUGGCUAUAGCUGGUUAAAACAUCAAUGCUAUUAUUAUUGCUAGGCUGACACAUGUGGUUUCAACUGUUUUAGGUUUGCGUUGUUUAGUUUUCUUGUGGCUUUUAUAGCAGUAUCACAUACUCUCUUACAUAUAUUGUACAUUGUUCAUAAGGAUACAUGCUAGACAUCUAAUGAGGCAACAACAUGAUACCUUAUGGUUUAAGUUGAAGAUACAUGUAUUGAAUUUUUAUAUGGGAUCUCUUAGCAGCCUUAUUAUUCUUGAAAUAUAUUUGUCUAAGUAGUUGUCUUCCGAAUGAAGUGGUACAUACGUAAAUUCUUUUUUGGAGCUUCAGUCUUAUUGAAUACUUGGCUAAUUUUGUUAUAUCACGGAGCUUCAGCUUUAUAUGUAUUCCUCAUUACGGAGUUCUUGAGGCUGUUUUCUUUCUUAGUUCAUUGAUACUUAUCUUGAUUUACAUGAGGGCUUGUUGGGACUGAUUCCAGCAUAUAUUUGCACAUUGUACUAGGCAUUUUUAAAAUAUUUUUUUAUGGAAACAAGAGGAAGAUAUUUUCUGAUGCCCUAAUAUGGAUCAUGAUACUCAAUUGUACACCAAUAUCACAAUAUUUACUUUUAAUGGUCAAUCAUUUAUCAACAUUCUACAUUAGCCUGGUUCUAAAAGGAUUUUGGCCUUGACAAUCAAUCAUGAGGAGAUAACUAAUGACUCUAAAAAGUUUGACAGCCGUUGCAAUAUGAGGUGACGAGAGAGAUUACAGGUACACUAUAGUUCCAGUAUUUAUUUUUCUUCAUUUGUUGGCUCUUAGCAUCAUAGUGAAACCAAUUUUCUACUUAUCAUGCAACUCAGUUUGGUGAUGUUGUUCUGCUUCUCUCAAAAUAUUGAUAAUUUGAUUUAUAGGAGUAAAAAAAAUUGGUGGGUGGGGGGUUAAGUCCCCGUUGCUCUCUUAGCUGCUCCGCCACUGUUUUGAUGGAUGUACAAUUUUGAGCUCGUUAACAUUCCAUACUUAAAAUACUCAACCUUAUUCUUAAAUAUUGUCAAUCUAAUUGAUAACCUUGAUGUUUCAUUGUGUUACUAUGAAGCUCAAUGUCUAUAAUUUGCAAAAAAUGGCAAUUGUUUCAGUUUGUGAUGCAUCAAUGCUGUCUAUCUUUAUCUUCCAUCUCUCUUUUAUCUUUAUAUUUAGAAUGUUUAGACUAUUUUUGCCAUUUCUCUCUUUUAUCUUUAUAUUUAGAAUGUUUAGACUAUUUUUGCCAUUUCUCUCUUUUUUGCAGCAGUCUUAUAAGCAAAAGCCUGGCUUUCACGGUUGAUUUUCUUUGCUUUGGGUGAUGCAUCGUAUUAGGAUCGAUGGGAUCUCUACGCGUUAAUGCUUAUGCAGUGCUGCUGUUUUGUAGUAACUUUUUUUGGGGUUAGGUAGGCUCCACAAGUUAUUGUUGAGAAUUUCUUGUAAUAUUGUCAAUGAAAUAUUUGUUCUAGAUAUUAUUUUUUUAUCUCUAUGCACUGUAAAGAACCGAAUGGAUAAACUAAAAAUAAAUCUGAUGAUUUUCCGUCACCUAUCUAAA